rnacentral:rRNA from 1 species
AUUGCCCCAGUAACGGCGAGUGAAGCGGCAACAGCUCAAAUUUGAAAUCUGGCCCCCCCGGGGCCCGAGUUGUAAUUUGCAGAGGACGCUUUUGGCGAGGUGCCUUCCGAGUUCCCUGGAACGGGACGCCACAGAGGGUGAGAGCCCCGUCUGGUCGGACACCGAGCCUCUGUAAAGCUCCUUCGACGAGUCGAGUAGUUUGGGAAUGCUGCUCAAAAUGGGAGGUAUAUGUCUUCUAAAGCUAAAUACCGGCCAGAGACCGAUAGCGCACAAGUAGAGUGAUCGAAAGAUGAAAAGCACUUUGAAAAGAGAGUUAAACAGCACGUGAAAUUGUUGAAAGGGAAGCGCCCGCGACCAGACUUGGGCCCGGCCGAUCAACCGGCGUUCUCGCCGGGGCACUCGGGCGGGCACAGGCCAGCAUCAGCUCGGCGCGGCGGAGAAAGGCCGCGGGAACGUGGCUCCCUCGGGAGUGUUAUAGCCCGCGGCGCAACACCCCGCGCCGGACUGAGGAACGCGCAUCUGCACGGAUGCUGGCGUAAUGGUCGUCGGCGACCCGUCUUGAAACACGGACCAAGGAGUCGUCUUCGUAUGCGAGUGUUCGGGUGCCAAACCCCUACGCGCAAUGAAAGUGAACGCAGGUGAGAGCUUCGGCGCAUCACCGACCGAUCCUGAUGUUCUCGGAUGGAUUUGAGUACGAGCAUACGGGGCCGGACCCGAAAGAAGGUGAACUAUGCCUGCGUAGGGUGAAGCCAGAGGAAACUCUGGUGGAGGCUCGCAGCGGUUCUGACGUGCGAAUCGAUCGUCAAACGUGGG